GGUGCUAACCUUGUACCUACAUCCACUCUCUAAGUCCCUACUUAAAAAUUUAAUCUACUAAAAAGAUUUCAAGAUUCAACACGUCGGGUUGACCCUUGCUAUCCAAGCAAGAAUACUUAUUUUUUGGGUACAAACCAACCCACAAUACUCUGAUUUUAGGUUCGGAUCAACCUAUCCAAGUUUUGGAACCCCCAAAACUCAAAACCCAAAAU
rnacentral:lncRNA from 1 species